GGGCUGAGGACCAGCAGGAAUAAUGGGUGAUGGAAACCAGAGGAAGGAAGGUGGGAGGCACAGGCUGGAGCUACUUUAGUGGAUCUCAGUGGAGAAAUGAAGAGUGAGGGGCAGCAGGCGUGGGGAAAAUGGCAGGAGUGUGUGUGUUCCAGGGAGAAGGAACAGUAGGUAAUCGGAAUCUCAUCCCCAUCAAUCUUCCCACUUGUGCACAGGAAGGGGGCAGAGAUUCGCGUCCCAGCAUCGUUUAUAGAAAUGGAAAUUUGCAAAGAACCUAGAAGGCCACCAAUGGGGUGCUUGAGCACAAAUAAGAGACACCCAUGAUGCAGAGGGUCAGGCGGAAGAAGGGUGUACUAGGAGGAGACUGGAAGACCCACAGAAUCUAGGACCACACAGCUGACCAAGGCUGUCACCACCAUCGGGGACCGUAGCUGGUAAAGGAAGAAAGGAAAUGUUGGUUAUCAACGUGCACCAGACACACACAGGGGAGCACCACUCUCCUUGAAGCAAUGAGCCACAAACCCACAGCAUCCUCCUCUCUUACCGGCUCCCUGGACCUCUGCCCAGAGCCAGCACCCCAGAAGUGAAGGAGACAAGCCCGUGACCGGCAGAGACGGAGAAAGAAGGACACACGCACCCGGACAGACGAGCAGCUGGAGUCGGUUUGGAGGAAUCAUGGGGAGCCGGCUGCAGGCUGUGAUCUAAAGAGAGAAAAGGAGCAGGG